GAGAUUCCCCCAGUAGCGGCGAGCGAACGGGGAGCAGCCCAGAGCCUGAAUCAGUGUGUGUGUUAGUGGAAGCGUCUGGAAAGGCGCGCGAUACAGGGUGACAGCCCCGUACACAAAAAUGCACAUACUGUGAGCUCGAUGAGUAGGGCGGGACACGUGGUAUCCUGUCUGAAUAUGGGGGGACCAUCCUCCAAGGCUAAAUACUCCUGACUGACCGAUAGUGAACCAGUACCGUGAGGGAAAGGCGAAAAGAACCCCGGCGAGGGGAGUGAAAAAGAACCUGAAACCGUGUACGUACAAGCAGUGGGAGCACAGAGCAAUCUGUGUGACUGCGUACCUUUUGUAUAAUGGGUCAGCGACUUAUAUUCUGUAGCAAGGUUAACCGAAUAGGGGAGCCGAAGGGAAACCGAGUCUUAACUGGGCGUUAAGUUGCAGGGUAUAGACCCGAAACCCGGUGAUCUAGCCAUGGGCAGGUUGAAGGUUGGGUAACACUAACUGGAGGACCGAACCGACUAAUGUUGAAAAAUUAGCGGAUGACUUGUGGCUGGGGGUGAAAGGCCAAUCAAACCGGGAGAUAGCUGGUUCUCCCCGAAAGCUAUUUAGGUAGCGCCUCGUGAAUUCAUCUCCGGGGGUAGAGCACUGUUUCGGCAAGGGGGUCAUCCCGACUUACCAACCCGAUGCAAACUGCGAAUACCGGAGAAUGUUAUCACGGGAGACACACGGCGGGUGCUAACGUCCGUCGUGAAGAGGGAAACAACCCAGACCGCCAGCUAAGGUCCCAAAGUCAUGGUUAAGUGGGAAACGAUGUGGGAAGGCCCAGACAGCCAGGAUGUUGGCUUAGAAGCAGCCAUCAUUUAAAGAAAGCGUAAUAGCUCACUGGUCGAGUCGGCCUGCGCGGAAGAUGUAACGGGGCUAAACCAUGCAC
rnacentral:rRNA from 1 species